rnacentral:tRNA from 1 species
CUCCAGUUAGCCUAUUCGUAAAGGCUUUGGAUCGUCAAUCUGGAGACGGCGGGUUCGAUUCCCGUUCUGGUCG